UAUCCGCUGGUUUGGAGUUUCAGUUUCUUUUCUCUGCAGUCAAAAAGGGAGGGGCUGCUGGUUGGUUUGGCUGGCUGAAACCAGUCCCUGGCUUUUCCUCACCGCUUCUGUCUGGAGGAAAGAUCUCCCCUUCCAGGUCGGAGAUUCUGUCUAGUAAUGGGUGAAAAUUGAGUGCUUUCAACCAUCAUAUUAUCUACCUUGAAGGAUACUUAGUGGCUGUGUUGUCCUGAGUUGCCUUGGAGAACUGACUCACCAUUGUUUUAGAAUCUGCCUAGCCAUCCAGCAGUCCUUAAGAAAGAAGAGCCUCAGAGACUAGGACAGGAAAAGACACAGGGGCAACAUAAUGGCCUCAACAGGUCUGACGAAUAUACAGGAGAAGACCACUUGCCCUGUCUGCCAAGAGCUUUUGACCAAAGCCCUGAGUCUAGGCUGUGGCCACCGUGUAUGCCAAGCCUGUCUCAUCACGAAGAAGAAUGCAGUGAUCAACCCCAGAGAGAAAAGCAGCUGUCCUGUGUGUGGUACUAGAUUCUCGUUGGAAAAUCUACAGGCUAAUAAACAUCUGGCAAAUGUAGUAGAGAGACUCGGGGAGGUUAAAUUGAAGCCUGACAUUGGGACAAAGAGAGAUCUCUGUGUACACCAUGGAGAGAAGCUCCUUCUCUUCUGUAAGGAGGACAAGAAGGCCAUUUGCUGGGUUUGUGAGCGUUCUCAGGAGCAUCGUGGUCACCACACAUUCCUCUGGGAGGAAGCAGUCAGGGAAUGUCAGGAGAAUCUCCAGAAAGCUCUCACGAGGCUGAGGAAGGAGCAGGAGAAGGUGGAGACAUUGGAAGCUGACAUCAAAGAAGACAGACUUUCCUGGAAGUGCCAGGUCCAGACUGAGAGACAAAGGAUUCAAACAGGCUUUAAUCAGCUUAGAAGAAUCCUGGACAAGGAGGAACAGAGAGAGCUGAAAAGACUCAGAGAAGAGGAGCAGAUGAUACUGGACAGCCUGGCGGGGGCAGAGGCUGAGCUGGCUCAACAGAGUCAGUUGGUGGAGGAACUUAUCUCGGAUCUAGAGCUGCGGCGUGAGUGGUCAGAUACAGAGUUGCUGCAGGAGUCAGAUCUGGACACUGAAGAAGCCAAAAGCAGUUUCUAAGAAACUGAGCAUGGUAUUCCAAGCUCCUGAUCUGAGUGGCAUGCUACAAAAGUUUAGAGAGCUAACAGCUGUCCGGGCCUACUGGGGUAAGAAGUUGCAGAUGUUGAAAUCACUGUGUUCUGAUCACCUUUCACAAGUGUGUGGUUCAAUGUGGCCUUAUCACCUCUGUCUCCUGUGUUACCUCAUACACAUAAUGAAUUCCUCAUAGGCUUCGUGUGAUGGUAUAUGCUUACAGUCAGAGCAGUAGGGAGAUGAGGCAGAUGAACUGUAUGCUAAAGCCUAACCUGGGACACUUAGCAAGAUCGUGUACUAAACAACAAUUAUGUAACAUUUUUGUAUUGUUUUAUCAUAUCCCACAAUCAAUAUUACUUUCUUCUAAGCUCUCCAGUGUUGGCUUUUCACAGUGUUUCACAAACAAGCUACCUCCAUAUAUGCCACCUAAUCUUUUUCUUUCUUGUUUUCCCUCUUAUAGACAACUUCACAUUUAAUCCAGAAAACCUAAAUUUGAAUCUUAUACUUUCAGAAGACCACAGACAAGUGACAUCUGUGUCCAUUUGGCCCUUUAAGUGUUGUAAUAACGGUAUCUUGGGCUCCAAAUGUUUCUCCUCAGGAAAACAUUACUGGGAAGUGGAUGUGUCUGAAAAGAAGGCCUGGACCCUGGGAGUUUACACUAGAAAACGAACUUUAAGGUUUGAUGUUAGACAACGCAAAGGUCAGCCAAAUGGUUACCACAGAUACAAACCACAGAAUGGCUACUGGGUUAUAGGGUUACAGCAUGGAUCGAAGUAUAGUAUCUUUGAGGAUUCUUCCAACUGUGACCCUACUGUUCUGAACCCCUUUGUGGCCACCCCUCUCCAUCGGGUUGGGGUUUUUCUUGACUGUGAAGAGGGCACAGUAUCCUUCCUCAAUGUCACCAACCAUGGAUCACUCAUUUACAAGUUCUCCCAAUGCUGCUUUUCCCAACCUGCCUAUCCAUACUUCAAUCCUUGGGACUGUCCAGCCCCCAUGACCCUGUGUCCUCUGAACUCCUGAGUUUUCUCAUUCUCAUCCGUUUCUGCUCUUACUUCUGGCCUUGAUGCUUACCUUGUGUAUGGACCUGUGCUGUUCAGGCAUCUCUUCCCAUGGUCUCCCUUCUGUCAUGCUUGGAUGUGGUGUAUCUGGCAUCAUGUAGAAGAGAUGCUUACCUUUUACUCUAGCUCAUUUUCUCAAAAAAGCCUAAAGCUAGGUCAGGGUAAUAUCCAUGCCCUCUGCCUUCCAUAUUUCCCUUUGUCUUGAAGAAAGUUGACAAAGUCUAUUAGCCAGUAACUCAUCCUUGUUGUUUAAGACAAUCCAUAAGAACUGACUCCAGACCACAACUAAUGGAUUUUUAACACUAUGUCGCUCAGGAUACCUUACAUUCAACAAGAAGUCAAGGAAUAGAAAGUAUGAACAGCAACACAUAAUCUAGAGUUGAGGUUAUGACUACUAUAUAAAUUCAAAUGCUGCCUCUUACAAACUAAUAAAUUCUAAGGUUCUUAAACUGAAAAUUGAAGUGCAUUUGACUUAAGAUGGUUGUAUGAAACUAGGUAUGUGUAAAUAUAAAAUACCCAUUUAACUGUCUUGUACAUAAUACAUGGGCCUAUAGUCCUUUGUACUCAAUGAAAUAUUUUGUGGAAUGUUUGGAGUAUUAUAAAUACCUGUUGUCUUCAAAUGCUAGUCGUCUUCCUUGCAAGUUUGAUUCCAUAUGUAUAAUCUCAUGUGGAGCAUGUCUGAUUUGAAAAAAAAAGGGGGACUGGUCUUCACUGUUGUUCUAAACUAUUAAAAUUCAUUUGCAGCUAAAAA